CUCUCUAACUGGCUGCCUGUCCCUCGUCCGAGCAAGGCAGGCCCGACGCCGCGCCGCCAACCACCGCUUCCAACCAGGCUUGUUGUGUCACCUAGUCGACGCUGACGCCCGUCGCCACACCUCGAGCACGCCCUUUCGAUUUUUACGUACAUUUCGUGCAGCAGUCACACUAUCGUCACCAAGGAUUCCGUCGUUGUACCGGAUAUUUUGUUAUUAGAUAUUGAGGUGGGGAUGGAAUACCGGGUGGGAGAGGUUGGUUUCGACAACUACUAUUUUGCUGCUUUCUAUCUGUGUAACGUAUCAACAAGCCGAAGAAGGUGGAAAGAACAAGGAGAAAU